rfam:Desulfobacterium vacuolatum DSM 3385 genome assembly, contig: Ga0002809_112
UAGGCUGACAGUAAAAUUUCCGAUAUCCAAACUGGCCAUGAAAAAACCCUUACAGCCAUGUUACCGGCGUUGGCAGGUGCCAACCUCAUUUACGGCUUGG